GACGAACGCUGGCGGCGGGCUUAACACAUGCAAGUCGAACGGAAAGGCCCUGCUUGUGUGGGGUGCUCGAGUGGCGAACGGGUGAGUAACACGUGAGUAACCUGCUCUUGACUUUGGGAUAACUUCAGGAAACUGGGGCUAAUACCGGAUAGGAGCUCCUGCUGCAUGGUGGGGGUUGGAAAGUUUCGGCGGUUGGGGAUGGACGCGCGGCUUAUCAGCUUGUUGGUGGGGUAGUGGCUUACCAAGGCUUUGACGGGUAGCCGGCCUGAGAGGGUGACCGGCGACAUUGGGACUGAGAUACGGCCCAGACUCCUACGGGAGGCAGCAGUGGGGAAUAUUGCACAAUGGGCGGAAGCCUGAUGCAGCAACGCCGCGUGCGGGAUGACGGCCUUCGGGUUGUAAACCGCUUUCGCCUGUGACGAAGCGUGAGUGACGGUAAUGGGUAAAGAAGCACCGGCUAACUACGUG
rnacentral:rRNA from 1 species